UACGAAGGGGGCUAGCGUUGCUCGGAAUUACUGGGCGUAAAGCGCGCGUAGGCGGACAUUUAAGUCAGGGGUGAAAUCCCAGGGCUCAACCCUGGAACUGCCUUUGAUACUGGAUGUCUGGAGUUCGGGAGAGGUGAGUGGAAUUCCGAGUGUAGAGGUGAAAUUCGUAGAUAUUCGGAGGAACACCAGUGGCGAAGGCGGCUCACUGGUCCAUUACUGACGCUGAGGUGCGAAAGCGUGGGGAGCAAACAGG
rnacentral:rRNA from 1 species